GACGAACGCUGGCGGCGUGCUUAACACAUGCAAGUCGAACGGAAAGGCCCUGCUUUUGUGGGGUGCUCGAGUGGCGAACGGGUGAGUAACACGUGAGUAACCUGCCCUUGACUUUGGGAUAACUUCAGGAAACUGGGGCUAAUACCGGAUAGGAGCUCCUGCUGCAUGGUGGGGGUUGGAAAGUUUCGGCGGUUGGGGAUGGACUCGCGGCUUAUCAGCUUGUUGGUGGGGUAGUGGCUUACCAAGGCUUUGACGGGUAGCCGGCCUGAGAGGGUGACCGGCCACCAUGGGACUGAGAUACGGCCCAGACUCCUACGGGAGGCAGUAGGGGGGAAUAUUGCACAAUGGGCGGAAGCCUGAUGCAGCAACGCCGCGUGCGGGAUGACGGCCUUCGGGUUGUAAACCGCUUUCGCCUGUGACGAAGCGUGAGUGACGGUAAUGGGUAAAGAAGCACCGGCUAACUACGUG
rnacentral:rRNA from 1 species